AUGAAGGUUCUUGAAGGGGUUGCAGAGCUGGCAGGACAAUGUUUGAGGAUGGAGAUGGAUAGACGCCCUGAGAUGACAGACGUGGCAGAAUGUCUUCGGGCACUUAAGAAAACUCAAGUUCAAGGAAAACAAACACCAACUAUUUUUCCUUGGGGGUGGAGGAACAAGCCAGCUGCUCUAAACAACCAGCAAUCUUCUAGCUCAGUCACGCAACAAUCUUUGCCACCCAGCUUGUGCCGCCAUUUCUCACUUAGGGAGUUGAAAUCUGCGACAAGAAACUUUGAUAACUCACACCUUCUUGGUCAGGGUAUACAUCGUAGAGUUUACUAUGGAGUGAUUUAUGGGGGUCCAACCAAGGUGGCUGUCAAACGUGGCAGUGUUGACUAUGAUGGAAGUGACUUCCAGACAGAGAUAGCGAUGAUGGCAAAGCUCCGUCACGAUCAUCUCGUACCAUUGGUCGGUUACUGCAAAGAGGAAAACGAGAUGAUACUGAUCUACGAUUACAUGGCUCGUGGCACCCUGCGUGAGAACCUUUACGCUAACAACACCGAGGAGCCACCUCUUAGUUGGAGGCAGCGUUUAGAGAUUUGCAUAGGUGCUGCUCAUGCCCUGCAUUACCUUCACGAGUGUUCCUUCAUCCCCAAUUAUGUGUCGACGACGAACAUUCUCCUGGAUGAGAGAUUGGUUGCGAAGGUUCCAUGUGAAGUCUCGGUGCCGCAUAAUCUCACACGUACAAUAUAUAAGGAUUACGUCGAUCCUCAGUUUUACCGCUCUUGCAAACUCACAGAGAAAUCCCAUGUAUAUUCCUUUGGUGUUGUGCUAUUUGAGGUUUUGUGUGCACGGGCUGCUUAUGAUCUCAAUCUCCCAAUUAUAUUAUGUGACGGAGAAAGUACAAAACUGGUUCUUCUUUGCUUCUCGUCCUGA
rnacentral:rRNA from 1 species